rnacentral:rRNA from 1 species
CCCUCAGGGACACAUUUGAAGUCUCGGAGCCGGGUGUUGGUUCCGGUAGCGAUCGAGGGAAGUUAGUACCGAAGUCUGAGAUGGAAGAUGGCGAGAAAAGCUGUGUGGAUUUCUGCGGUGCCCGUACCGCAAACCGACACAGGUAGGUAGGAAGAAGAUUCUAAGGCCAACGGGAGAAGGGUUGUUAAGGAACUCGGCAAAUUGACCCCGUAACUUCGGGAGAAGGGGUGCUGCAGAGAUGCAGCCGCAGAGAAUCGGCCCAAGCAACUGUUUUACCAAAAACACAGGUUUGUGCUAAAUCGAAAGAUGACGUAUACGAGCUGACGCCUGCCCGGUGCUGGAAGGUUAAGAGGAGAUGUGCAAGCAUUGAAUCGAAGCCCCAGUGAACGGCGGCCGUAACAAUAACGGUCCUAAGGUAGCGAAAUUCCUUGUCAGGUAAGUUCUGACCCGCAUGAAAGGCGUAAUGAUUUGGGCACUGUCUCAACAGCCCGCCCGGCGAAAUUGUAGUACCGGUGAAGAUGCCGGUUACCCGCGACAAGACGGAAAGACCCCAUGGAGCUUUACUGUAGCCUAAUAUUGGGUUUCGAUGUUGCAUGCACAGGAUAGAUGGGACUCUGGGAAACCGAUGCUUUGGCGUCGGCGGAGAGGCCGUUGGGAUACCAUCCUUGCGAUAUUGGAAUUCUAACCCGCGCCUUUGAAUCAAGGCGGGGGACAUUGUUAGGUGGGCAGUUUGACUGGGGCGGUCGCCUCCUAAAGAGUAACGGAGGCGUUCAAAGGUUCGCUCAGCUUGAACGGAAAUCAAGCAAAAGAGUGCAAACGCAGAAGCGAGCCUAACUGCGAGACUGACGGGUCGAGCAGUAACGAAAGUUGGAGUUAGUGAUCCGGUGGUAUGUGAGUGGAAAUGCCAUCGCUCAACGGAUAAAAGUUACCCGGGGGAUAACAGGCUGAUCUCCCCCAAGAGUCCACAUCGACGGGGAGGUUUGGCACCCCGAUGUCGGCUCAUCGCAUCCUGGGGCUGUAUUCGGUCCCAAGGGUUUGGCUGUUCGCCAAUUAAAGCGGUACGCGAGCUGGGUUCAGAACGUCGUGAGACAGUUCGGUCCCUACCUGUCGUGGGCGCAGGAUAUUUGAUGGGAGCUGUUCCUAGUACGAGAGGACCGGAGCGGACGUACCUCUGGCGCACCAGUUGUUCUGCCAAGGGCAUAGCUGGGCAACUAUGUACGGAUCGGAUAAACGCUGAAAGCAUCUAAGCGUGAAGCCGACCCAAAGAUAAGAUAUCCCAUUGUCUCAAACAAGUAAGACCCCUUGAAGACUACAAGGUUGAUAGGCACGAUGUGUAAGUGGAGUGAUCCAUUCAGCAAGCGUGUACUAAUAGGUCGAGGGCUUGAC